UACGGGGGGGGGCAAGCGUUGUUCGGAAUUACUGGGCGUAAAGGGCUCGUAGGCGGCCAACUAAGUCGGACGUGAAAUCCCCAGGCUCAACCUGGGAACUGCGUCCGAUACUGGAUGGCUUGAAUCCGGGAGAGGGAUGCAGAAUUCCAGGUGUAGCGGUGAAAUGCGUAGAUAUCUGGAGGAAUACCGGUGGCGAAGGCGGCAUCCUGGACCGGCAUUGACGCUGAGGAGCGAAAGCCAGGGGAGCAAACGGG
rnacentral:rRNA from 1 species